UCCCUGUAAAAAUAAAAAGUCUAAAAAUGUAUAAAUGCCAUAUAAUUACGUUUAAAAUUAUAAUAAAAAUAUGGAAGUUUUCGAAAGAUAUUGAAAGCCUACAAUUUUACUGAGGUUAACAGAAAAUAAAUUAUACGAAAUAUCGGCAUGCAAUAUGAACACCGGUGCGAGCUUUUUGUUCAUUAGCAUUUACGGAAUCACGAAUAGUUUUUGCGUGUUGCAAAGUGCUACUUGAAAAUAACAUAAAACCUAACAAAGAAAAUUUGAAGAACUGACAAGUCACGGCGUUCUCAACUCCAUGCACAGCCACGUGUUUCAAAAAGUUUUUUUAAAUAAAAAGUAAAAAUAACGCCAAACCCUUAUAAGUGCAAAGAA